rnacentral:rRNA from 1 species
GACGUAGGGCGCGAGCGUUGUCCGGAUUUAUUGGGCGUAAAGAGCUCGUAGGCGGCUUGUCGCGUCGACUGUGAAAACCCGUGGCUCACCAUGUGGUCUGCAGUCGAUACGGGCAGGCUAGAAUUCGGUAGGGGAGACUGGAAUUCCUGGUGUAGCGGUGAAAUGCGACAGAUAUCAGGAGGAACACCAGUGGCGAAGGCGGCA